AAUAGAUACCCGGGUAGUCCACGCCGUAAACGAUGUCGACUUGGAGGUUGUUCCCUUGAGGAGUGGCUUCCGGAGCUAACGCGUUAAGUCGACCGCCUGGGGAGUACGGCCGCAAGGUUAAAACUCAAAUGAAUUGACGGGGGCCCGCACAAGCGGUGGAGCAUGUGGUUUAAUUCGAUGCAACGCGAAGAACCUUACCUACUCUUGACAUCCAGAGAACUUUCCAGAGAUGGAUUGGUGCCUUCGGGAACUCUGAGACAGGUGCUGCAUGGCUGUCGUCAGCUCGUGUUGUGAAAUGUUGGGUUAAGUCCCGCAACGAGCGCAACCCUUAUCCUUUGUUGCCAGCGGUCCGGCCGGGAACUCAAAGGAGACUGCCAGUGAUAAACUGGAGGAAGGUGGGGAUGACGUCAAGUCAUCAUGGCCCUUACGAGUAGGGCUACACACGUGCUACAAUGGCGUAUACAAAGAGAAGCGACCUCGCGAGAGCAAGCGGACCUCAUAAAGUACGUCGUAGUCCGGAUUGGAGUCUGCAACUCGACU
rnacentral:rRNA from 1 species